rnacentral:lncRNA from 1 species
GACCCUGGUAUCAGACUCCACAAUCCCUGCACCCACAUCUGCACCUGGAGCUCUGCCAUUCCUGCCAGGUGACAAUCUGCAAAGUCUCCAUGGGCACAUACCCCUCGUGGCCUUCCAAUCCCAUCCCAACCCCGCGGCUCAGCCAAGGACCAGACGGUAGCUGUUGAGGAAACGCAGAGGCUACAGAAAAGAAGACUAAUUCAUCAUCUUCUUAGGUAAGGAAGGACAUAAAUUCCAGAAGCACUCCCCAGACAGAUCUUGGUUAGUUACUCCAGACUCCGUGGGCUCUCCAGGGGCAGUGUAAGUUAUUACCAUUCCUCUCUCCAGCCACCGGUGGCUCAGCAGUAAAGAAUCUGCCCACUAUGCAGGACACCUGGGUUUGAUCUCUGGGUUGGGAAGAUCCCCUGGUGGAGGAAAUGGCAACCCACUCCAGUAUUCUUGCCGGGAGAAUCCCAUGGAUGGAGGAGCCUGGUGAGCUACAGUCCUCGGGGUCGCAAAGAGUCAGACAUGACUGAGUGACUUCACUUUCACUUUCUCCAGGGCAUGGAGAAAGGAAAAAGAUGUCCCCAUGCCGGACACGCGAACAACGCAGAAUCCAUGCCAGGGAGAGAUACCUUGGGUGGAAGCGAAGUCUCAGCCGGGUAAACAGAGGUCUCACACACAGAAUAAAGGUUGGGUCCAUUUCCACCCGCCCCGCAGCCGGAGCUGUAGACAGGAUAACCACUCUGCUGUUGUUCGUACCAGCUGCCAAAGGGGUGAGGCUGGCAGGACGGGAAGUCUGGCUUCACUCUAAGAGCAGCGGGGAGAAGAGAGGAAGGACAUCAACAGUCAAGGCAGAAUCGCUCAAAGCCCCGGGGCUCGAUUCUUCUUUCUCCAAGUUAAGGAGGAUACCUGCUUUCACUGUUUUAAGAACACCUAUUUUCAAAGCGGUAGUUUGUCAAUUGCCAAACUGUGUUAAGAAACAGAACACUAUCAGCCUUUUCAUUCAGAACAGGAAAAACCGGCACACCUUUGCCAAUACCAGUAAUAAGUAUCCUGCUGAGUUGAGCCCAAACCUGCACAACUCUCCUGUCCAGCCAUUUAUCCAGACCCUUGAUAAAGUGACUGGGAAUCCAGUUUUCACCCCCGCAUCAAAGAUCCCAGCCCCUGGUCUAAACCCUCUCAAGCCCACAAAUAGCACUUCCAGCUGCCUCAGAAAUAGGAAAUACCUGCAGUGACCAUUCCUGGCAGGCAGUUAACUCCUCGACUUUCAGGUGGGUUAAGGAGUGGGUGGGACGGGCGAGGAUUGGAGUACUGGGACGAGGAGCGUAUUGGAGUCACCUGGAGGAGCCCCUGCAAACUGUGGGCUGGGCUUUGAGCUGCCUGCCUCCUCCCCCAACGGUCGGACCCCCGGGAAGCCGUCACAAAGGGGAGGUUGGGGGCGUGGGGCAGACAGGGAGUGCGUGGUGGGCAACUGUGAGGCACACAGAAGUCUCCAGCCCCCGCACAAUAAUGUGUAAGGGAGUCACUUUUAAUCAAAAGUGAUUAGUCACUUUUAAUUAAAAGCUUAAGACAAAGACUACAACUUGAUGUUUCUCUCCUCAGUUAUCUGCAAAGAAUGACUACUGGAAUCAGCAUCGAGUGGGCUUUUCUUUAAACACCCACUGCAGGCUGAAAUCAUCAUCCUAACCAGCUGGCGGGAAGAAGUGCUCGCUCGCUCGCUCUCUCACACACACACNNNNNNNNNNCUAACCAACACACACACACCCUAACCAAAACACCCUAACACACACACAUGAAGACACACACCCCGCCUUAACCAGCUGGUGGGAAGAAGUGCUCUCUCUCUUACACACACACCCUAACCACAGAAGCAGUGCUAUCUCACACUCACACACACCCCCAUACCUUAAUGCAAGUAUGGAAAAAUUUUCAAAGAAAUAUUUCUGUAAUUUAGUAGUUUUUUAAAAGCACAACAAACUGCCUCCUAAACUUUAAGGCCCAUUCAAAUUACCUGAGCAUGUUUACAAUGUGGAUUUGAAUUCCAUCUGGAGGGGAGCCUGAGGUUCUGCCAGUUUCCACGCACUUUGAGCAGCAAGUCUACACAAAAUGUCAAAACUUAAGAAAAUAACUUUUGAAUCUAAACAGGGACACAUAGAGCCUGGCCAUUUCCUUGUAGCUUCUUAAUACUAGUCCACUAUUCAAAUGCUUGUGUGCAUGCUAAGAUCGCUUCAGUUGUGUCUGACUCUUUGUGACCCUCUGGACUGUAGCCCACCAGGCUCCUCUGUCCAUGGAAUUCUCCAGGCAAUACUGGAAUGCAUCGCCAUGCCUUCCUCCAGGGGAUCUUCCUGACUCAGGAAUCGAACCCAAGUCUCUGACAUCUCCUGCACUGGCAGGUGGGUUCUUUACCACUAGCGCCGCCUGGGAAGCCCCAUUCAAAUGUUUAAUGUAGUUUCUAUUUACCUGUAAUGUGAAAAAUAAUCAUCAUGAUGAAUUCUAAUCGUUCAACCAUUCACCCGUCAUUUACCGAGCCCCUCCAAUACACAACGCAGGUGCCGGGCACUGGUGCCAGAGUGGAGCUUAUACCCUAGUAAUUUAAUCUCCCUGUGUGUUCAAGGGAGAUGUUACCGAUUAGCAGCUGUGCACACACAGUUAGGGGCCACCCAAUAUCUGGUUUCCUUUUCUUCCUUAAUAAUAGAACCUUGAUUUUAUUUGGAAGUAGCAAUGUGCCCUGUGGCCAGGUGGCCAAAGUCUAGCUAAUAAGAUGUAAACAGCACUAUCACAAGGGGCUUGAGGAAAGCUUCGUGGGCAGAGGGAGUCUGCUUAGCUGGAGGGUGUUUUUUGUUGUUGUUUUUCUAUCCUUCUCACUUCCAAAUAGGAAAAGGAGUGCGUCAAGGCUGCCUAUUGUCACCCUGCUUAUUUAACUUAUAUGCAGAGUACAUCAUGAGAAACGCUGGGCUGGAAGAAGCACAAGCUGGAAUCAAGAUUGCCGGGAGAAAUAUCAAUAACCUCAGAUAUGCAGAUGACACCACCCUUAUGGCAGAGAGUGAAGAGGAACUAAAAAGCCGCUUGAUGAAAGUGAAAGAGGAGAGUGAAAAAGUUGGCUUAAAGCUCAUCAUUCAGAAAACUAAGAUCAUGGCAUCCGGUCCCAUCACCUCGUGGCAAAUAGAUGGGGAGACAGUGGAAACCGUGUCAGACUUUAUUUUUUUGGGCUCCAAAAUCACUGCAGAUGGUGACUGCAGCCAUGAAAUUAAAAGACACUUACUCCUUGGAAGGAAAGUUAUGACCAACCUAGAUAGCAUAUUAAAAAGCAGAGGCAUUACUUUGCCAACAAAGGUCCAUCUAGUCAAGGCUAUGGUUUUUCCAGUGGUCAUGUAUGGAUGUGAGAGUUGGACUAUGAAGAAAGCUGAGCACCGAAAAAUUGAUGUUUUUGAACUGUGGUGUUGGAGAAGACUCUUGAGAGUCCCUUGGACUGCAAGGAGACUUGGACUGGCAACCAGUCCAUCCUAAAGGAGAUCAGUCCUGGGUGUUCAUUGGAAGGACUGGAUGCUGAAGCUGAAACUCCAAUACUUUGGCCACCUCAUGUGAAGAGUUGACUGGUUGGAAAAGACCCUGAUGCUGGACCAACCCGCCUCCAAAAGCCUUUGUCUUAAGAAAGAAAUCUCUUGUUUAAGCCACUGCUGUAAAUUACAUGAAAUUAAAAAUAAUUCUUGGGGCUUCCAUGAUGGCUCAGGGCUAAAGAAUCUGCCUGUAAUGCCCGAGAUGUGGGUUCAAUCUCUGGGUCGGGAAGAUUCCCUGGAGAAGGCUACCCACUCCAGGAUUCUUGCCUGGAGAAUCCCAUGGACAGAGGAGCCUGGGGGACUACAGCCCACGGGGUCACAGAGUCAAAUACAACUGAGCAGAGCAUAGCAGCAAUGGGCACAGUUAACGAGAACUGGCAGUGAGGAGUGGAAAACUGAAACAUUAAAAAAUAGUAAUUCCCUAAAAUUUUUUAUACCAUUUUGAAGGUUAUUUUCCAUUAACAGCUAUUAUAGCUAUAUUCCAUGUUGUACAAUACAUCCUUGAGCCAAUCUUACACCCAGCAGUUUGUACCUCCCCUGCCCCCCGACCCCAUCCAACACACACUGGUAACACUGGUUUGUUCUGUUAUCUGUGAGCCUGCUUCUUUUUUCUUUUUUUUUUUUUUUGCUGUAUUCACAGUUCAUUGUAUUUAGAAAAAAAAAUUCUUAAAUAUUUUAGCAGCUUA